rnacentral:rRNA from 1 species
GUGCCAGCAGCCGCGGUAAUACGUAGGGCGCAAGCGUUAUCCGGAAUUAUUGGGCGUAAAGAGCUCGUAGGCGGUUUGUCGCGUCUGCUGUGAAAUCCCGAAGGCUCAACCUCGGGCCUGCAGUGGGUACGGGCAGACUAGAGUGCGGUAGGGGAGAUUGGAAUUCCUGGUGUAGCGGUGGAAUGCGCAGAUAUCAGGAGGAACACCGAUGGCGAAGGCAGAUCUCUGGGCCGUAACUGACGCUGAGGAGCGAAAGGGUGGGGAGCAAACAGGCUUAGAUACCCUGGUAGUCC